CCCCCCCCCCCCCCCCCCCCCCCCCCCCCCCCCCCCCCCCCCCCCCCCCCCCUGGGGUGAGGGAUUCCUUCCAACCUGGGCCACUUUGGGUGGGCUGGGGGCAGCCCCAGGGCCGGUGGCAGUGUGUGCAAGGGCCCUUUGUGACACGGUGCAGCAUGGUCACUGUGGCAUGGGACAGUGUCAAAGGAUCCUUUGUGACAUGUGGUGACAUAGGAGCUGGCAGUGACACAGCCACGGCACAGUGCUCGGAGCACGCGACGGGACAGGACGGGACAGAGCGGUGCCGUGAGGAGCCCCCGCACAGCGCACUCCUCCGUCUCUGACCCAGAACUUUUCCCUUGACCUUAGAGCUGCAGGUGACCUCGAGGCCAGGCCACAGCACUUGGUGACCUGUGGCCUCCUUGGGACUUCUCUUUUGCAGGUGCCCUCGACGGCAGACUGUGGGACUUGGUGACUCAGAACGUUUCCAAGGAAUCUCCCCUCCUUGUGGCCAGUACCCUUGAGGCGAGACCGUAAGACUUGUUGACUCAGAGCUCUUCCAGGCUUCUUUCAGGUGGCCUCAACACCAGAUUUUAGGAUGGCAGAGAAACGCCAAGGCCUGUCCGGGGUGAAUAGUAAGAAAGGCUCUUCAGCUUCUCCAGCAAAGAAGCCUAAUGUGGUGCCACGGUCCCAGGAUGGGAAGAAGCAGACACAAGAGCAGGACCCAGGCCAAAGCCGCUUCCGCAGAGCACUGGAGAUGUUUCUGAAGUUCAAGGGCAGGCGUGAAAAGACCACAGAGGAUUCAGACAAAUUUAGCUCCAGGCCAACUGAUGCUAGCAUAGCAUCAAUUGAAUGCGCAGAAAUGUCUAAUUACAUAGUGAAGGCUGACCAGGUGCCAGCCAUGGUGAGGAUCAUGCACGAGAGACUUGCGUCCCCUGAGACUGCUGAUGUCAGGCUAUUCAUGAACAUUCUGAGGAUGGCUGAAGAACACCCUGCUGGUGUGGUGCUGACACUCCUGCGCUGUGCCCCAACGUGUGACAGAGCUGCUGCAAUGAUGUGGAGAACCAUAAGCUCAUCAAGAUCAACACUGGAGAAGGUGCUGCCAACAAUGAUGUGGAGAGCCAUAGGCACAUCGGGAUCUACCGUGGGGAAGGUGCUGCCAAUUCUGCUCUGUGUCAUGGAGGACUGGCCUCUGCACAGCAUGUGCACCUCUGAUGGAGACAACGAAGAUGUUUUUGCCCUGGCUGCAACUCUGGUGAUCUGGGUGAUGGUCCAGGUGCCCAAGAGCCAUGAGGCAAUGUACAUUUAUGCCCCCCACCUCCUCGUGGCUCUGUUAGCUCAAAUUUUUGACAGCACUGUGCAUGGAACUGAGGAGGUUGACAACUUUUGGACACAAUGCCAGGCAGAACACAACCUUCAAACAAACCCCAGCAGGUUUGCAGUCCAGACCAUGAAGUCCCUGCUCUGCCGACUGCGGUGUGACAACGUGGUGAUGGCCAUGGAGCGCAAGCGUGGCUGGGACACGCUGCUGUCUGCUGACACCCAGCACUAUGCCACGGGUCUGCUGGCCAGGGAGAUGCACCGUGACUUGACCCUCUUGUGUUCCCGCAUUGCAUGCCACCUGCUUGGGAUGCUUAGCACAGCGCGGCAUCGUUGGGAUACUCCAGCUGCUCAGCACACAGGAGCCACGCUGGGAUCUGCCUGCCCUGGCAUUCCUUGUGGAGGUCCUGGAUUGCCUGGACUUGUGUGA
rnacentral:lncRNA from 12 species